rnacentral:ncRNA from 1 species
CGACCUCAGAUCAGACGAGAUCACCCGCUAAAUUUAAGCAUAUCAAUAAGCGGUGGAAAAGAAACGAAAACGAAUUCUCCGAGUAGCGGCGAGCGAAACGAGAGUAGUCCAUACACCGAAGUCGGCGAGCAGUUGUGUUCGUCAACAGUGUGGUGUUAAAGGUGUCGUUGCAUGUGCUGAAAUCAGUUCGUAGGCUCCCUUGAUUGGGGCUUCAGAGCGGGUGCAGGACCCAUAACGAACGAUGUUUUGUGCAUGGUGUCGCGGCUCCUAAUCGAGUCGGGUUGCUUGAGACUGCAGCCCAAAGCGGGUGGUAAAUCUCACCCAAGACUAAAUAUUCGUACGAGACCGAUAGCGAACAAGUACCGCGAGGGAAAGUUGAAAAGAACUCUGAAGAGAGAGUUCAACAGGACGUGAAACCGUUGACAGGCAAACGGAUGGAGCUGACGGUGCAAUUUUGACCAAAAUCAGUCGUCGCUGUGUUCGUUGGCGAAUGAAUCUUUUUUGCAAACUUGUUUGCGCAGAUUAUCUUUCGUUUCGAAUGUACGCACGGUGCACUUUUGGUCGAUCAGCGUCACGAGCAACGUUCGCAUUUUUUGCUGCCGACAGUAAUUGUGUUUGUUGUUUUAAAAGCAACAAACAAUAAAGGCGGUUUGUGGAAGAGGUAAUUGUGGUAAAGACUUGUGCUUGUCUCAAUUGCCGUGCCAAUGCCGCAUCUCUCGGAUGAAUGUUGUUGUUGACAAGAUGAAGAGCAUUGUUCUGCGUACAAUUGUAAUGGGUCUGUUGGUGCCGUUGCGUUCGUGGGUUUCGGCUCACGAUUUGUCUGGUACGUCGGGAAAAAAGUCAAUUAUGAAUGUAAUUGAUCUGACUACCGUGCGUAGCGGUAUUCAAAUGUGUGUUUGAUGGACUUUAUUUGCAAUCGGCGCUCAAUGUGUUUUCUUUUAUCGGUGGCGUCAAUGUUAGCCUCCCAUCCGACCCGUCUUGAAACACGGACCAAGGAGUUCAGUAGGCACGCGAGUCGUUGACGUUUUCCAUUGAACAGUCGAAGGCGAAAUGAAAGUGUUCAUGAAAAUGAACAGUACUUUUUUAUGGAGUGCUGUUCGCUUUCAACAUGAUCGUCCUUGUUUGUGCUUAAUUGUGCAAAAUUGAUGUAUGGGGACGCGCAGUGUGGUGCCGUUGAAUAGUCGCACUGUUCUUUCUUUCUCUUCGGGGUUGGAGGAACAAUUGUCGAUCAGUCGGUUUCGGAGCGUGCACACUGGUACCCGAAAGAUGGUGAACUAUGCUUGAGCAGAAUGAAGCCAGAGGAAACUCUGGUGGAAGUUCGUAGCGGUGUUGACGUGCAAAUCACUCGUCUGACUUGAGUGUAGGGGCGAAAGACUAAUCGAACCAUCUAGUUGCUGGUUCCUUCCGAAGUUUCCCUCAGGAUAGCUGGCAUUUGUUUGUAACAAUUUUAUCCGGUAGAGCGAAUGAUUAGAGGUGUUGGGAACGCAAUGUUCUCAGCCUAUUCUCAAACUUCGAAUGGGUAAGCAAGGCGUUUUGCUUUGAUUUUACGAUGAAAUCGCCCAAUUAGAAUGUAUAAAUGCCUAGUGGGCCAAUUUUGGUAAGCAGAACUGGCGAUGUGGAAUGAACCAAAAGUCAGGUUAAGGUGCCAGACAUUGGCGCUCAUGAAAUACCAGAAAAGGUGUUGGUCGAUAUAGACAGCAGGACGGUGGCCAUGGAAGUUGGAAUCCGCCAAGGAGUGUGUAACAACUCACCUGCCGAAUCGACUAGCCCUGAAAAUGGAUAGCGUUUGAGCGCCAGGCCCAUACCUGACCGUCUCAAUUACGCACUUUUUUUUCGGAAAAGGUGUAAUGAACGUUGAGACGGGUAGGAAGGUCGCGACAGUGUUGCUUUGAAGAGUUUUGAGCGUGAGCUCGCUCGGAGCCGCUGUUGGUGCAGAUCUUGGUGGUAGUAGCAAAUAUUCAAGUGAGAACCUUGAAGGCUGAAGUGGAGCAAGGUUCCAUGUGAACAGCAGUUGGACAUGGGUCAGUCGAUCCUAAGAAAACGGCGAAAGCUUGUUCGAAUUUGCGACAUGAAUUGUAAGACUGUGUGAAUUGUGUGUGUGUGCAGUUGUCGUAUGUUUUCGAAAGGGAAUCCGGUUGAUAUUCCGGAACCGAGUAACGGAGACAAAGAGUAGCGCUUUAAUCUCUCUGUGGGGUUGGCGUUCAACUCAAUCGCGCGGUAACGCAAGCGAACUCGGAAAAUGACCGUCGUGAGUUUCGAAAAGAGUUUUCUUUUCUUUUUAAGGGACGCAUUCCCUGGAACCGGGUUGUCCGGAGAUAGGGAUUCUGGUAUCCAUAAAACGCCGACUUUUUCACGGUGUUCGGAGCGCUCUCGUCGGUACGUGAAAAUCCGAGCGACGCCUGGUAAAUCUCGUACUUGGUCGUACU